CACGUAAGGGGCGAGCGUUGUUCGGAAUUAUUGGGCGUAAAGGGCACGCAGGCGGUUAUGCAAGUCUGAUGUGAAAUCUCCGGGCUUAACUCGGAAUCCGCGUUGGAAACUGCAUGACUAGAGUAUUAGAGGGGGAGUCGGAAUUCCUAGUGUAGGGGUGAAAUCUGUUGAUAUUAGGAAGAACACCGGUGGCGAAGGCGGACUCCUGGCUGAAUACUGACGCUGAGGUGCGAAAGCAUAGGGAGCAAACAGG
rnacentral:rRNA from 1 species